CCAGGGGGAUGCCUCGAGCUGGCGAGUUCCUUCCCCUCCUCCUGCAUUUAUCUCUCUCCUUCCCUCCCUCCCUCUCUCUUUUCUGUACUGUGUUGGCCAACACACACUCUCUUUCCCUCUGUCUGUGUCCUUGCCUCUCCCUGUGCUUUCUCCCUUUAUAGGACACGGGUAGGUGUGGAUCCCCAUAGGCUAGGUCUCGGGAGCCAGGAAGAAGUAGGAGGGGAUGAAAAUUAUGUGGGGUCGUGGGUGCAAGAGUGGAGGCAGGUAUUGUAAAAUAUCUAGCACGGUAGCAUGUUGGAUAGUGAUGGCUCUUCCAUAGGUGGUUUGCUGUUCUUGCAGAGGCCCACUCAAGGCCAAUGGAGCCGCCCCAGACAGAGGAGAAGCAUCUGGAGGAACCAGACCUGCACAAUCUAGAUGUUUUUCACUUGGCAGUGGAGCUAAGGAGUGCUCUCAUGAUAUUCGAGGAGCAGGUACGGAUGCCCAGUUAGCUACGGCUCGGUGUGUAACAAAAUAAGCUGUGGAUAUGUGGGAGACAAGGUCCCCAUUUUCAACAUCAGCUCAUUUCUCCGUUCACAAGCGGUGUGUCCUCUGCAGAAAAGCUUGGAUCCAGGAGGAUGAUUCCAGCUGCGCUGGUACAGGAAUUGUCCAGGAACCCUACCCGGUGGAGAGACUCUCAGAAGUGAACCUGAUCAGCCUGAACAUUCUUCUAAGCAGACAUGAACAGUCCUCAGCUUUCUGCCUCCUGCAUAAAUGGCAGUGAAAAAAGAAGUCAUUUGCCAGUCUACUGCCCUCAUGUGAUGGAAAGCGAGCGAGAGAGAUGAGACCGUGAGCAUGGUUGAUGCCAUGCAAAAGCCGUCCAUCUGGCAGCAGAAGAGCCGUCGCUGUCAGUGAGAUAAGUGUCUGUUUUGAGGAAUUGUCCAGGAGCGCUGUCUGGAGGAGAGACUCUCAAAAGUGGACCUGAACAUCCUUCUAAGCAGACAUGAACAGUCCUCAGCUUUCUGCCUCCUGCAUAACUGGCUGUGAGUAAGAGGUCGGUGCCAGUGGAAUACCUCAUCUAUACUAGUACCAAGGGAAGAGAAGUCACGUAUCAGUCUACUGUCCUCAUGCAAAGGAAAGCGAGACCGACGAGACCGCGAUCAUUGUCGAAAUCAGGCAUUAGCUGUACAUCUGGGAGCGGAGCAGUCACCGCUGUCAGUGAGAUAAAUGUCUGGUUUGGUGAGGGAUCUACUCAUGGCCCACCUGGCUCCAGAUCCAUUUCCAGAGGAAUUUCCCAGGAGCUGCAGCCGGAGGAGAGGUUGGCAGAUGUGGACAUGAGGAAACUGAACAUCCUUCUGAGCAGACACGAACAGUCCUCGGCUUUCUGCUUCCUGCAUAACUGGCUUACCAAGGAAAAAGAAGUCACACGGCGGAGUCUACUGCCCUCAUGCGAUGGACAGUGAGU